rnacentral:rRNA from 1 species
GACGAACGCUGGCGGCGUGCUUAACACAUGCGAGUCGAACGGAAAGGCCUGCUUUCCCUUGUGGAUUGCGGGUACUCGAGUGGCGAACGGGUGAGUAACACGUGAGUGAUCUGCCCCCAACUUGGGUAUAAGCCUGGGAAACUGGGUCUAAUUCACGAUAGGACUGCAGGGUGGUGCCUGUGGUGGAAAACGAUUUUCUAGUGGUUGGGGAUGAGCUCGCGGCCUAUCAGCUUGUUGGUGGGGUAAUGGCCUACCAAGGCGGCGACGGGUAGCCGGCCUGAGAGGGUGGACGGCCACAUUGGGACUGAGAUACGGCCCAGACUCCUACGGGAGGCAGCAGUGGGGAAUAUUGCACAAUGGGCGGAAGCCUGAUGCAGCGACGCCGCGUGGGGGAUGACGGCCUUCGGGUUGUAAACUCCUUUCGACCGCGAGGAAGCCACCUGGUUGGAAGGGUGGUGACGGUAGUGGUAGAAGAAGCACCGGCUAACUACGUG